UUCCUGUUUCUUUAGGGGAACGUGGCUUUCCCCACAGCGCCCGUCUUCCCUUCUGCGUCUCUGCUGCAGCUGCCGGAGCUGAAGUCGGACCCCGAGUGCAGCCUUGCCAUGGACUCGGCCCUCAGCGACCCGCAUAACGGCAGUGUCGAGGCAGGCGGCCCAACCAACGGCACGACGCGGCCGCCUUCCACGCCCGAGGGCAUCGCGCUGGCCUAUGGCAGCCUCCUGCUCAUGGCGCUGCUGCCCAUCUUCUUCGGCGCCCUGCGCUCCGUGCGCUGCGCCCGCGGCAAGAAUGCCUCGGACAUGCCCGAGACCAUCACCAGCCGGGACGCUGCCCGGUUCCCCAUCAUCGCCAGCUGCACGCUCUUGGGGCUCUACCUCUUUUUCAAAAUAUUCUCCCAGGAGUACAUCAACCUCUUGCUGUCCAUGUAUUUCUUCGUGCUGGGAAUCCUGGCCCUGUCCCACACCAUCAGCCCCUUCAUGAAUAAGUUUUUUCCAGCCAACUUCCCAAAUCGACAGUACCAGCUGCUCUUCACCCAGGGCUCUGGGGAGAACAAGGAAGAGAUCAUCAAUUAUGAGUUUGACACCAAGGACCUGGUGUGCCUGGGCCUGAGCAGCAUCGUUGGCGUCUGGUACCUGCUGAGGAAGCACUGGAUUGCCAACAACCUCUUCGGCCUGGCCUUUUCCCUUAACGGGGUGGAGCUCCUGCACCUGAACAACGUCAGCACCGGCUGCAUCCUGCUGGGCGGGCUCUUCAUCUACGAUAUCUUCUGGGUAUUUGGCACCAAUGUGAUGGUGACAGUGGCCAAGUCCUUUGAGGCACCAAUAAAAUUGGUGUUUCCCCAGGAUCUGCUGGAGAAGGGCCUGGAAGCGGACAAUUUUGCCAUGCUGGGACUCGGAGACAUCGUCAUUCCAGGAAUCUUCAUCGCCUUGCUGCUGCGUUUUGACAUCAGCUUGAAGAAGAACACCCACACCUACUUCUACACCAGCUUUGCAGCCUACAUCUUCGGCCUGGGCCUGACCAUCUUCAUCAUGCACAUCUUCAAACACGCCCAGCCUGCGCUCCUGUACCUGGUCCCCGCCUGCAUCGGCUUUCCUGUCCUGGUGGCACUGGCCAAGGGAGAAGUGACAGAGAUGUUCAGCUACGAGUCCUCAGCGGAAAUCCUGCCUCAUACCCCGAGGCUCACCCACUUCCCCACAGUCUCGGGCUCCCCAGCCAGCCUGGCGGACUCCAUGCAGCAGAAGCUAGCUGGCCCUCGCCGCCGGCGCCCGCAGAAUCCCAGCGCCAUGUAAUGCCCAGCGGGUGCCCACCUGCCCACUUCCCCCCACUGCCCUGGGGCCCAAGCUAUGAGGAGUCAAAUCCUAAGGAUCCAGCAGCAGUGACAGAAUCCAAAGAGGGAACAGAGGCCUCACCAUCGAAGGGGCUGGAGAAGAAGGAGAAAUGAUGCGGCUGGUGCCUGACCCUCUGAGGGCCAGACACACGGGCGGGGUGGUCCCCCCCCCACGGGCCCGCACGGCCGCAGUCCUGCUGAAGGGGACCGGCAGCUCCAGGAGAGGGGCAGGGGCAGCAGGCUCCCUCCAGCGGGGCCUCCGGGGCCUGGUCCCCUCUCCCCCUUCUCUGGCCUCGCUCUGCCCCUCCCCAUCGCUGCCCGCAGAGGAAGCCCCAACUGCCCCCACCCCCCGCAAGGUGCCAGGUGGGAAAAGUGGGUCUGAUUUUUAGACUUUUGUAUUGUGGACUGACUUUGCCUCACAUUAAAAACUCAUCCCAUUGCCCGGGCA